GUAGUCUGCAACUCGACUACAUGAAGCUGGAAUCGCUAGUAAUCGCGAAUCAGAAUGUCGCGGUGAAUACGUUCCCGGGUCUUGUACACACCGCCCGUCACACCAUGGGAGUCAGUAACGCCCGAAGUCAGUGACCCAACCAAUCAGGAGGGAGCUGCCGAAGGUGGGACCGAUAACUGGGGUGAAGUCGUAACAAGGUACC
rnacentral:rRNA from 1 species